AAGUCGAGCGGAUGACGGGAGCUUGCUCCUUGAUUCAGCGGCGGACGGGUGAGUAAUGCCUAGGAAUCUGCCUGGUAGUGGGGGACAACGUUUCGAAAGGAACGCUAAUACCGCAUACGUCCUACGGGAGAAAGCAGGGGACCUUCGGGCCUUGCGCUAUCAGAUGAGCCUAGGUCGGAUUAGCUAGUUGGUGGGGUAAUGGCUCACCAAGGCGACGAUCCGUAACUGGUCUGAGAGGAUGAUCAGUCACACUGGAACUGAGACACGGUCCAGACUCCUACGGGAGGCAGCAGUGGGGAAUAUUGGACAAUGGGCGAAAGCCUGAUCCAGCCAUGCCGCGUGUGUGAAGAAGGUCUUCGGAUUGUAAAGCACUUUAAGUUGGGAGGAAGGGCAGUAAGUUAAUACCUUGCUGUUUUGACGUUACCGACAGAAUAAGCACCGGCUAACUCUGUGCCAGCAGCCGCGGUAAUACAGAGGGUGCAAGCGUUAAUCGGAAUUACUGGGCGUAAAGCGCGCGUAGGUGGUUUGUUAAGUUGGAUGUGAAAGCCCCGGGCUCAACCUGGGAACUGCAUCCAAAACUGGCAAGCUAGAGUACGGUAGAGGGUGGUGGARUUUCCUGUGUAGCGGUGAAAUGCGUAGAUAUAGGAAGGAACACCAGUGGCGAANGCGACCACCUGGACUGAUACUGACACUGANGUGCGAAAGCGYGGGGAGCAAACAGGAUUAGAUACCCUGGUAGUCCACGCCGUAAACGAUGUCAACUAGCCGUUGGAAUCCUUGAGAUUUUAGUGCCGCANCUAACGCAUUAA
rnacentral:rRNA from 1 species